rnacentral:misc_RNA from 1 species
UACGGAGGGUGCAAGCGUUAAUCGGAAUUACUGGGCGUAAAGCGCACGCAGGCGGUCUGUCAAGUCGGAUGUGAAAUCCCCGGGCUCAACCUGGGAACUGCAUCCGAAACUGGCUAGCUCGAGUACAGCAGAGGAUAGUGGAAUUUCCGGUGUAGCGGUGAAAUGCGUAGAGAUCGGAAGGAACACCAGUGGCGAAGGCGACUCUCUGGUCUGUAACUGACGCUGAGGCGCGAAAGCGUGGGGAGCAAACAGG